UCGAGAAUCCGAAAUGACGGCACAGCACAAGCCGCCAUACCUCCGGAGGCUCCGCUUUGCCGCAGAUCCAACUCUGGUUUGUAGGAGAAAGAAUAUUACCUAACUGAGGAAGGUGAAAAUCAGGAUGUGGAU